CAAUGAGAAAGCAAGUCAGCCUUCGAAAAGAGUCUUUCUGGAAGAAGCAGCUUCCUGGGAAACGGACUCUCUAAACUAGGUCUGGUGGGGGUUCCCAGCCCCAGGAGGUGGAGUGGCCACUGGAUGGAAGAACCUGAUGACUCGAAUGCAGCAGAUCCUGUCUGACAACCCGCAUGGGAUUAUGACACGAACAAGGAAUAAAUCUUUAUCGUGCUGAA